rnacentral:rRNA from 1 species
AUUGAACGCUGGCGGCAUGCUUUACACAUGCAAGUCGAACGGCAGCGCGGGCUUCGGCCUGGCGGCGAGUGGCGAACGGGUGAGUAAUAUAUCGGAACGUACCCAAGAGUGGGGGAUAACGUAGCGAAAGUUACGCUAAUACCGCAUACGAUCUAAGGAUGAAAGCAGGGGAUCGCAAGACCUUGUGCUCCUGGAGCGGCCGAUAUCUGAUUAGCUAGUUGGUGAGGUAAAGGCUCACCAAGGCAACGAUCAGUAGCUGGUCUGAGAGGACGACCAGCCACACUGGAACUGAGACACGGCCCAAACUCCUACGGGAGGCAGCAGUGGGGAAUUUUGGACAAUGGGGGCAACCCUGAUCCAGCAAUGCCGCGUGAGUGAAGAAGGCCUUCGGGUUGUAAAGCUCUUUUGUCAGGGAAGAAACGGUUCCAGCUAAUAUCUGGAGCUAAUGACGGUACCUGAAGAAUAAGCACCGGCUAACUACGUGCCAGCCGCCGCCGUAACAC